AACCCAUGGUGAGGGCACCUUCUCAAUAAAUCCUUAUACCUCUCCCAUGCAUCAUAUUGUAAUGCCCCUAAAAAAAUCUAGAAGUCUCUUUUUAUGAUGGU
rnacentral:snoRNA from 1 species